CCUACGGGUUGCAGCAGUGGGGAAUAUUGCACAAUGGGCGCAAGCCUGAUGCAACCAUGCCGCGUGUACGAAGAAGGCCUUCGGGUUGUAAAGUACUUUCAGCGGGGAGGAAGGCGAUAAGGUUAAUAACCUUGUCGAUUGACGUUACCCGCAGAAGAAGCACCGGCUAACUCCGUGCCAGCAGCCGCGGUAAUACGGAGGGUGCAAGCGUUAAUCGGAAUUACUGGGCGUAAAGCGCACGCAGGCGGUCUGUCAAGUCGGAUGUGAAAUCCCCGGGCUCAACCUGGGAACUGCAUUCGAAACUGGCAGGCUAGAGUCUUGUAGAGGGGGGUAGAAUUUCAGGUGUAGCGGUGAAAUGCGUAGAGAUCUGGAGGAAUACCGGUGGCGAAGGCGGCCCCCUGGAUAAAGACUGACGCUCAGGUGCGAAAGCGUGGGGAGCAAACAGGAUUAGAUACCCGAGUAGUC
rnacentral:rRNA from 1 species